rnacentral:rRNA from 1 species
GACGAACGCUGGCGGCGUGCUUAACACAUGCAAGUCGAACGGUAAGGCCCUUCGGGGUACACGAGUGGCGAACGGGUGAGUAACACGUGGGUGAUCUACCCUGCACUUCGGGAUAAGCCUGGGAAACUGGGUCUAAUACCGGAUAGGACUCCUGGCUUCAUGGUUGGGGGUGGAAAGCUUUUGCGGUGUGGGAUGGGCCCGCGGCCUAUCAGCUUGUUGGUGGGGUAAUGGCCUACCAAGGCGACGACGGGUAGCCGGCCUGAGAGGGUGACCGGUCACACUGGGACUGAGAUACGGCCCAGACUCCUACGGGAGGCAGCAGUGGGGAAUAUUGCACAAUGGGCGCAAGCCUGAUGCAGCGACGCCGCGUGUGGGAUGACGGCCUUCGGGUUGUAAACCUCUUUCAGCUAUGACGAAGCGCAAGUGACGGUAGGUGCAGAAGAAGGACCGGCCAACUAUGUGCCAGCCGCCGCGGUAA